UCUCAUCUUUUUAACCCAUUGUGAACCAAAAAAACCCUUUUGCUUCGGCAGCUGACCUCGUCUUUCGUUAGGCCUGCGUCGUUAGCCUGCCGGCAGCACCUUUAUUAAACUUGUUUUUCAAAAACCUGUCUGAACAAAAUCAUUUUUGAAUGAAAAUCAAAACUUUCAACAACGGAUCUCUUGGUUCUCGCAUCGAUGAAGAACGCAGCGAAACGCGAUAGUUAAUGUGAAUUGCAGAAUUCAGUGAAUCAUCGAGUCUUUGAACGCACAUUGCGCCUUUUGGUAUUCCGAAAGGCAUGUCUGUUUGAGCGUCAUUUCAACACCCUUCAACCGCAUGGUUGGUCUUGAGCUCGGGAGCCCUAACCGGUCCUGGCUUUAAAGUUGAACGCUCUGCGGGCGACUCUGCCGAACCGAACAUAGUAAAUGCAUUUUUGCCCUGUUCCGCUAGGCUCGGAGUUCGUUCCGCCUGAACAACGAAUCUUUAUUAGGUUUGACCUCAGAUCAGACAAGGAUACCCGCUGAACUUAAGCAUAUCAAUAAGCGGAGGAAAAGAAACCAACAGGGAUUACCUCAGUAACGGCGAGUGAAGCGGUAACAGCUCAAAUUUGAAAUCUGGAGCCUUCGGCUUCCGAGUUGUAAUUUGAAGAGGAUGCUUCGGUUGUGGCCCUGGCCUAAGUUCCUUGGAACAGGACGUCGUAGAGGGUGAGAAUCCCGUACACGGCUGUGGGCCUACUUCCAUGUGAAGCUCCUUCGAAGAGUCGAGUUGUUUGGGAAUGCAGCUCAAAAUGGGUGGUAAAUUUCAUCUAAAGCUAAAUAUUGGCGAGAGACCGAUAGCGCACAAGUAGAGUGAUCGAAAGAUGA
rnacentral:rRNA from 1 species